rnacentral:misc_RNA from 1 species
GCAAGGUUCAAUAGUGUUGGACUUGAAGUAAGUCUUUGAUAAACACUGGGUGGAAGGGGCAUCUCAUUUUGACCCCUACGACCCUUCUUUGAUUGUCCAUCACCAGUGAAAAGUUCCUGAAGUGUUUCCACUGCUACGGUACCCCUAUUAUCAUGCUGCACGCCUCCAAGGACAUUGUCAGAUAACAAAGCAAUAGGGGAUAUGUCAGUAGCCCUCAAGAACGGAAUGGGUACAGUAUUACCCGCUGCAUAAAUGGACCAAAGCUUGUCCUGCAGAGCAAAUGAUUU